UGAGCCUGGGUAAUGCUGCGCUGUAAGAGUGUGACUAGAAAGUGCUGGCUCACUGCAACGUGUCAAGGCAAGUGGCCUGGCUGCUUGCUCCAGGCCCUGCACAGCUGCCCAUUCCUUGCGCAACACCCAGAGGUUCGCCAGGAGCCGGGCUGGGCUGAGGAGCGACACAGAGGGACAGUGUCACCACCUCCUUGGGCACCUUUCCCAGGGGUUGGGAGAGACCCUCCUGUAUCCUUGAAAUAUUAUUUAAAGAAGGGAAGUUUAUCAAACAGCAGCUCAAGACAUUGAAAGACAUUGAUGCUCUGGAGUGUGUCCAGAGGGCAGCGGAGCUGUGAGGGGUCUGGGGCACAAGUGUGAUGGGGAGCGGCUGAGGGAACUGGGGUGGGUCAGUCUGGAGAAGAGGAGGCUCAGGGGAGAUCUCAUCACUCUGCAACUCCCUGAGAGGAGGCUGUGUGAGGUGGGGUCAGCCUCUGCUCCCAGGUAACAGCAAUAGGAUGAGAGGUGAUGGUCUUAAGUUGCAGCAGGGCAGUCACCAUCCCUGGAGGUGUUCCAGAGCCGUGGAGAUGUGGCACUGAGGGACACGGUCAGUGGGCAUGGUGGGGUGGGCUGCGGUUGGACUUGGGGACGUGAGAGGUCUUUCAAAACAUAAUGAUUUUGUGAUUCUAUGAUUCAAAUGGAGAAUUCUGCCCAUCCUUUCGAAACUCCCCAGCUUUCCUUGCAACCUCAGGGCUCCAGCAGCCUUUCCGAGAGGUGGGAUGAGCAGCAUUUCCCCGACGUCGUAGCACUGAUGUAAUGAGGUGGUGAAUCAGUGGGGAUCUUUCUGCCUUACCCAUGUCAUAUCACCGCUGUUGAUGAAGUUCUGCUAUUUUAAGUGGCGGAGCCCUGUGCAACCCGGUCUUAGUAAAUGGCGAGUAACUCUGCCAUGUCUGAUUUCAGCCCCACAAACCGGGGAGAACUGCGGGAAUGCAAAACUAUUCUGGUUGGUGAGACCCUGCCCCAAGCAAACGGGAUGCCAGGCGGUGAUCCCAGCGCCAGCUGAGCACAGCAGCAGCCUCCCUGAGGAUACCAUGGGGGAAGGGGCAGGGUUCCCAGCACUAACCCACCAGGGGCGCCAGUCUCUUCCGCUGCCAGGCUCAGGGCACAGUCCUCUUCAUCUUCAGCAGCGACCUGGGUGAUGGAGGAGGCUCAGGGGGAUCCCACCCAUCCAUCAACCCCUGCAGGAGGACGCAGCCAGGCUCUGCUCUGCGGUGCUCAGUGCAGGACUGUUUGGGUGCCGGACACCUCCAGCGCACCCACGCGCGUCCCCGCCGAAUCCCAGCUCCGCUCGCUCCCAGCCCGGGCGGGCAGUGCCACCUAGCGGCCCCCUCGGCCACAUCGGAGCGUUCCCAAUCGGGGUGCUCGAGGAGGGUGUUUCAGCGAUGUUUCAGCGCGGCAGAGAGGAGGGUUUGCAUGAUGCUGUGCGGAGUGGGAGACACUGUCUGGUUUCGUCGUGCGUAACACGAGCUGUGAGAUGCCCAUAUUACCAAAAUGAACGCAAUUUGAAAAGCAAAAGGCACGGCCGCACGCUUGCUGUACGCAGCUGCCUGUAGGCGGUGUGCGCAACGUUUGGUAUUUGCACUACCCAGCCCAGGUUGGGAUUCGGGGGAGCUGGGGGGCAGGGUGACAGCACGCCUGCAGCACCGCUCCCGCUGCCACCCCGGCCCACGGUGGGUCACACCCGAGCACCUCCUAUGGGGCACAGAGCCGCGACCCAGCUCCAGGCGCUGCCUCCGGCACUGCCCUCCCCAGCGCGACGACGGAGCUCGAGAGAUGGAAAAUGCCGAGAUAAGGACCUGCGGAAGCCACCCAGGUCACAUUUCUGCUUUGCGGAGGAAUUGCCGAGGAACGAGGCAGAGCCGGACACCAGCCCGAGUGCAGGGAGGGUGCUGGCAUCCGGCACAGGAACGCCCUGCGCUCCCACCGCCGUUAGGCGACUCGCAGACUGGGGAUCUGUCACUGCCCGUGGUGUGAGCCCCUAGAGAAUGAACGGUCCCGAAAGCACCCGGAGGAGCGGUAUGGGAGGAGGAAGGCUGUCUGCCCCCAGCCUUUUUCCUGACCCCUCCCUCAUUUUCAAGACGAGGAUCUCUGAAAACGCAGCAUUCAAAGAACGGGACUGUCAAAAGCACAAAGCAUUUUAACGAGGCGAAACAUCCUGCUAAGUCUUUCGGUUUAUUGGUGUUGAGCAUGUUCCAAGCCCUAAGAAAAGGACUCAGAAAGAAGCUAUUAAAAUAGUUGGCUUACGGGACCUGCAGUGUAAGCACAAUUAAAAUCAAUCCAGGUCUAGUUUUACCUAGAAAGCUUAUCAUUGACAGGAACUUGUUUUUAAAAGGUGAAAUAAGCGCCUUUAGUAAAAGACAUCCAGCUGACCUUAUGGUGCAGCAGUAUCGCCCAGUGCAGGGAGAAGAGGCAGAUAAUGUUUGGCCAUGUUACAGCACUGAGUCCAGCCAAGGGAAUGGAUGCCCUUGCUCUCCUUCAUCCCCAUGGCACCUUCUGGUCUUCUCUGAAGGCCACCAGAAGCUACAGGAAGGUUCUUGUUGCCCACAACAAACUCCUUGGUGUCACCCAGCACUCUGUGCUUGGGGAGGUGUGGUUUCUCCAAUCAGAUGAGCACCGUGAGGAGCCUGCGAGUCAUCUCUCCCAUGUGUCCUGCUUUGAUGGAUCCAGGACUGGGAGUCAGUGAAAGCGGCUGAGUCAGCUAGUGCUUCUUCUUAACUUUUUCCUUGUAAAAAUGGGGCUCUGAAUGCUAUUUCAGAAAGGAAGUCAAAGCAGUGUUUUCCACUUCCUGGGUAAAUGCUCCAAUUGCUGUGCUUUUAUAAAAGAAGGAUGGGCUACAGUAACUCCUACAACUAAUUGCCUCCAUUCCUAUCGCGUGUGUGGGCUCUGACAAACCCUGCUAAGCCAUAAAGCAGCUCAAGCUGCCAGACCAGGGGGAAAGACUUACUUAAGUGAUCUGAAAGAUGUGACUGCGUGAGUUUAUAACUGCUGCUCAGCUGACUUCCCACGGGAAAAAAAGAAGGCACGUGGGGGAAUGAGCUCUCUGAGGAUCACCCCAUGUGCGUUUGGAGUCAUGUGCAAGGUCCAUCUUUUCCACAGAGACACAGGACAGCCCCUGAAGACACGUUCUGAAGGUUUAUUGGCGCUGGUGAGCAUCCAGGAGACCAAAUAGGAGGUAGAAAUCCAAGGCUGCCCUGCUCCAUCCGUGAAGGUUGUGGGCAUUGUUGAACUUGGGCUCUGGGAGCAGCAGGAGGACAACUGCAGCAGGGUGAUAACGUGAGACUCCCAAUCACACGGACGCCUCCUCAAUUUUAUCACCAAAAUGUUAUCAUUUGUCAUUUUUUGUGUCAUCAUCAUUGCAUUUGCUCCCGAUACCAACUCUCACCUGAGCAUGAAGAGUGGCAUGCAGAAGAGAACGUAACAAGGCAUCACUGGAGCCUCUCUGUGUAGCUGGUAUCUGUUGGCAAGGCAGACGCAGUGGAGGACACACAAGCCAGCACCUCACAAGCAUCCUGGGGAGGGAAGAGGUGAGACGGCCAACCACCAAACAUGGACAGUUUAUCACAGCACACAGUGAUCCCCUUAAAAGGCAAACAAAGGAAAGGCACAUCUCAUACCAACCACAAUCUGAAAUCAUAUUCAGAUGUUCUGCUCUCCUCCAGCCUCUGCUCAUUCAGUACCAUGGUAGCUCUUAGCUUGAUAUUCCCAGGACAUUUUUUUCCAUUAAAUGCUACAUUUCCAGGAACUUGUAUAUGACAUUUCACUCAGCAGCCACAUGAACUACAUUUCCCUCUCUUUACGUACAACAGCCUGAACUGAUUUUGCAGUGACUGGCCAGCCUGCUCUUCUUUCUUCAAGGCAGCUUCGUGGAUCUGCAAGCAUAACUGGACAUAAAAAAAAGAAGAAAAAAAAGAAGAAAAAAGUAGCAAUCUGUUGCGAAUAGGAGCAGGCUGGAUGCUUGGGGCUUUUAAUCUCUGCCUUAGUGCUGAGCCUCUGCUAUUGCAGAGACAGGAUGCCAGCUCUCCCAGCUAGUGCCUGCUGCUGGUGGUUGAUCAGAUGGGGAUUAAAAAGUUUGGGGCAGGGGUUCUGCAUGUUUUCAGCUUUGAAAUUUCAGCUCUUCCCUACCCUAGAGGAGUGCUGCUCUGAGUGAAGCCAUCUAUCUGUCUGUAUGAUUCAAUAGCCCAUUCCCUCACUCUCAAUUCUCCUCCUUGGGCUUGGGGAAAAGAGGUGGCAAAUUUAGAGAUUUGGGAAAAAAAGAAAGUGAUGUAAGCCAGGCAGAAGAGGAGAACUGGAAACCCUGGGACACUUGGCUCCAUGGAAGACAGAAGCAGCACACCCUUCAGAGAAGGGCAGCAGGCAAAGGAACGCCUAUUACCCCUGCUCAGAAGGCCACAAGAGUCUUCAGCCAUGGGAAAGGGUUCCUGCUGCCAUUACAGAGCCCUGUAGAAGUUGUCUGGGAAGGCAAAUACUAAUUAGCUUAGAAUGUAUCAUGCCAAUGCAGGCUCAGCUCUGGCAUCUUCCCCCAGCUCUCCCAAAUGCAAAAUCCUGUCACCCCAUUUCUAAUGACUGCCCAUGGACAAAGCCAAAGCUCCAUGGUGUUUCUGUGCAGAAUAGUGGCUGGGAGAGGUCUUUGUUCAGGACUGAGAUGAAGACCACAGCCUCCGUAGUGCAGCUGUUUUGCUAUGCUGUAUGCUUUCUUCCAAGCCCAUCCCAAACUUGUGCCUAACAAGGGCCAUUUUAUUUUAAUAAAAAGUUGGACUUAAAAAGCA
rnacentral:lncRNA from 1 species